rnacentral:lncRNA from 1 species
UGCUUUGUAAAGUGUAAAGCCCGUUAGACUUUAAAAUAUCUUAUGAGAGAAGGCAGUGCUCGAGCAAGAGCAGUUAAGAGCAUGGAUUUUGGAGUCAGAGCAACUCGGGUUCAAGUUUGAUCCUGGCUGAUGUUGGGUGGUCGAUUCUGCUUGACGCUUGGGCAAGCUGGGGGACCAGGGUGUGGGGGUUUGAAGAGAGUAACUGAAUAAUGUCCACCCAAAGAUGUUCGUCUCCUAAUCUCCAGAACCUGUGAAGAUGUUACCUUACAUGCCGGAAGGAACUUUGCAGAUGUGAUUAAGUGAAGGAUCUUGAGUUGGGGAGAUUAUCUUGGAUUAUACUGCUGGGAUGGAAGCAGGAGGCUGAGUCAGAGAAGGAGAUAUUAGGACGGAAGCAGAGGUCAGAGAGAAAGAGAGAUUGGAAGAAUCUGCUCUGCUAGCUUUGAAGAUGGAGCCAGGGAAUGCAGACAGCCUCUAGAAGCUGAAAAAGGCAAAGAAAUGGCUUCUCCUCUCGAGACCCCAGAGAAAACACAGCUCUGCCGACGCCUUGAUUUUAGGAUUUCUGAUCUCCAGAACUGUAAGAUAACUGUGUGUCGUUUUAAGCCACUGAGUUUGUGGUAGUUUGUUACAACUGUAAUAGGAAAGUAAUACAGUCAAUAGUAAAGAUGAUAGUUAGUCUCCUGCUGCAUCCUCCUCUGUGUGGGACAGAAGGCUGCAGUUUAUUAGGCUCCCUCAAAGAUUACUGCAAUGUGAUUGUGACUUGAUGGAGGGAACUGCCACACCCAGAGGGAAACAUCCAAUAAGCCGUCGAAGUACAGAGGUCUAUGAAUGAAGACAGAAGUUGAGUUAAAAUAAAAUAGAUUUGGAAGACAUUAACUUAUAAUUGUUCAUUUAAGUCCUAGGCAUGGAUGAGAUCAAACAGGGAGAAAAUAUAGAAGAAACAAUAAAGAGGACCAAGGACAGAGCCCCGGGAAGCACUAACUUUAAAAGGGAGUGGCAGAUGAGCAGAAGCCCACACAGAAGUCUGAGAAAGAAUGGCCAGAGAGAUAAAAGAAAUAGAUGAGAGCAAUGCGUCUGAAACCAAGGUGGAAAUACAAAGUUCACGGAAUGUGGCCAAGGUCAUACUCUCAGCAGUUAAGUAGUAGGCCAAGAUUUAGACCCAGCACAGGCAUCUUCUUUCCUGCAAACCUACCCUCAGAGCCUUAGUCGGUGUACAUUAUGGGCAUUAACUCAUUUAAGCCUCAAAACAGCCCUUUAAGGCAAUGUGAAUUAUAUAACGGGCUGUUUUCUCCUUUCCCUUUGACUGCCAAGAAGCUCUGAGUAAAUUUGUGGCUCAGCAUUAGUAACUGGGAGGACCCUUGGCCUGCAUAUCUAUAUUGUGUCAGUUUGAAACUUCUCAAAAAGUUAGAAGGAAAAAUAACUUGGAUUCUUUAUUUUCUAAAUUGUUGAUAGUGUACAUUUAUUUUAUACUUAGAAAAAGUAAACUUUAUUUUUAAA